rnacentral:rRNA from 1 species
GGGGCGCGCCCCGGGCGGGGCGGGGGCACGGGGGGAACGCGAAGAACCUUACCUACUCUUGACAUCCAGAGAACUUAGCAGAGAUGCUUUGGUGCCUUCGGGAACUCUGAGACAGGUGCUGCAUGGCUGUCGUCAGCUCGUGUUGUGAAAUGUUGGGUUAAGUCCCGCAACGAGCGCAACCCUUAUCCUUUGUUGCCAGCGGUCCGGUCGGGAACUCAAAGGAGACUGCCAGUGAUAAACUGGAGGAAGGUGGGGAUGACGUCAAGUCAUCAUGGCCCUUACGAGUAGGGCUACACACGUGCUACAAUGGCAUAUACAAAGAGAAGCGACCUCGCGAGAGCAAGCGGACCUCAUAAARUAUSUCGUAGUCCGGAUUGGAGUCUGCAACUCGACUCCAUGAAGUCGGAAUCGCUAGUMAUCSUGGAUCAGAAUGCCACGGUGAAUACGUUCCCGGGUCUUGUACACA